rnacentral:tRNA from 1 species
ACGCGUUCGGUACGCGAAAGGUGCGCUUCACGUUAGGGUUGCGGGGCAGGAGGUACUGCAUGUCCGAGCUGUUCGACGCGGUCGACGCGCUC